GGGCGCGUAACUCAGUGGUAGAGUGCCACCUUCACACGGUGGAAGUCACAGGUUCGACACCUGUCGCGCCCA
rnacentral:tRNA from 1 species